AGCGAACGCUGGCGGCAGGCCUAACACAUGCAAGUCGAGCGGAUGAGUGGAGCUUGCUCCAUGAUUCAGCGGCGGACGGGUGAGUAAUGCCUAGGAAUCUGCCUGGUAGUGGGGGACAACGUUUUGAAAGGAACGCUAAUACCGCAUACGUCCUACGGGAGAAAGUGGGGGAUCUUCGGACCUCACGCUAUCAGAUGAGCCUAGGUCGGAUUAGCUAGUUGGUGAGGUAAAGGCUCACCAAGGCGACGAUCCGUAACUGGUCUGAGAGGACGAUCAGUCACACUGGAACUGAGACACGGUCCAGACUCCUACGGGAGGCAGCAAUGGGGAAUAUUGGACAACGGGCGAAAGCCUGAUCCAGCCAUGCCGCGUGUGUGAAGAAGGUCUUCGGAUUGUAAAGCACUUUAAGUUGGGAGGAAGGGCAGUAAGUUAAUACCUUGCUGUUUUGACGUUACCAACAGAAUAAGCACCGGCUAACUUCGUGCCAGCCGCCGCAGUAAUAC
rnacentral:rRNA from 1 species